CUUGAGCACGUAGGUGGGUUUGUAAGUCAGGUGUGAAAGCCUUCUGUUCAACGGGAGAAUUGCAUCUGAAACUACGAAUCUUGAGUGUAGGAGGGGAGAAUGGAACUUCUGGUGGAGCGGUGAAAUGCGUAGAUAUCAGAAGGAACGCCGGCGGCGAAAGCGAUUCUCUGGCCUAUUACUGACACUCAGUGUGCGAAAGCUAGGGGAGCAAACGGGAUUAGAUACCCCGGUAGUCCUAGCCGUAAACGAUGGGCACUAAGUAGUGGGAAUUACCGAUGUUCUCUCUGCCGUAGCUAACGCAUUAAGUGCCCCGCCUGGGGAGUACGGCCGCAAGGCUAAAACUCAAAAGAAUUGACGGGGGCUCGCACAAGCGGUGGAGCAUGUGGCUUAAUUCGAUGCAACACGAAAAACCUUACCGGGGCUUGACAUGUUAGAAGUAGGAACCUGAAAGGGUAACGAACGGUAUCCAGUCCGUAGCUAUCACAGGUGUUGCAUGGCUGUCGUCAGCUCGUGUCGUGAGACGUUGGGUUAAGUCCCCUAACGAGCGAAACCCUUGUUUUUAGUUACCAGCGGGUUAUGCCGGGUACUCUAGAAGGACUGCCGUCGUCAAGACGGAGGAAGGUGGGGAUGACGUCAAGUCAUCAUGGCCCUUAUGCCCCGGGCUGCACACGCGCUACAAUGGUCGGUACAAACGGAAGCGAAGCCGAGAGGUGAAGCGAAUCCAAGC
rnacentral:rRNA from 1 species